ensembl:lncRNA
AAGAAACAUAGAUAGUAUCACAUACGGCAAAGGAGUUGGGUGUUUACUAGGGAAGUCAAGCUAAGACUCUGGAAUGUGAGGACAACCAGAAGGAUUGGUGAUGGAUGAAAAGUGGUCCUGGGGGGGGGAAAAAAAAAAAAGAAACUUUAAUACAAGUUUUGUUUAGAAAAGAUCCUGUAAACAAAGUAACAACACUAAAACCUUGGGCCUAAUUUAAAGAGUAUAUAAUUUGAGAGAGUUUCAGCUGUGUUUUUCACAGAAGCUGCCCAUGUACCUAUUUAGACAUCUACUACUUGACCUUAAACUUGAGAAUCAUAUUUCAUUAGUGCUUUUGCUCUAAGGAUUACACAGGCCCUUCCCAUGAAACAUCAAGAGAAAAACUGCACACAAGACACAGCAUGGGAUAUACCAGUCAACGCCACAUCCUGUGAAAUCCAGCUUCAACAGAUAAGCUCCUCACAGACCCGAGAAUCCACACAAGAAUUCCAUGAGACAGACAGAGAAGAUGCGUAACUUAGGAGGAUCAACUUACCCAAAGGAUGUGUAGUGCAAACCAGACUCUAAGGGCAGAGGGAAGUUGCCCAUAGGGCUCUUCACUGCAAUAGGCUGGCUCCUUAAGCUGCUAAAAGGCUCCAAACCUAG